AUAGGCGUAGAAUGCUGGAAUGCUUUUAUGUUAAAAGGCAACGCCCAAGGAUGAGUCUGCAACCUAUUAGGCUGUAGCAAGUGUAAUGCACUUGUUAACCUAUGAUGGGUACGGGCCAUGAAAGUGGUUGCCCGGAGAUGGACUCUGAGACAUGAGUCCAGGCCCUACGGGGCGCAGCAGGCGCGAAAACUUCGCAAUGUGCGCAAGCACGACGAGGGAAUCCUAAGUGCCUAUGCUUUGCAUAGGCUGUUCUCCUAUCUAAAAAAUAGGGGGAGUAAGGGCUGGGUAAGACGGGUGCCAGCCGCCGCGGUAAUACCUGCAGCCCAAGUGGUGAUCGUUAUUAUUGGGUCUAAAACGUCCGUAGCUGGUCUGGUAAAUUCCUGGGUAAAUCGAACUGCCUAACAGUUCGAAUUCUGGGGAGACUGUCAGACUUGGGACCGGGAGGAGUCAGAAGUACUUUCGGGGUAGGAGUAAAAUCCUGUAAUCCUGAAAGGACUAUCAGUGGCGAAAGCGUCUGACCAGAACGGAUCCGACAGUAAGGGACGAAGCCCUGGGGCGCAA
rnacentral:rRNA from 1 species